rnacentral:rRNA from 1 species
AUGCAGGUGCAGCUGGACUUUUCUCUGAGCUAUAAGCAUAUCUAUUUAGUCUGCCUAAAAAACAGAUUAUUACCUUUGCUGCAGCUAACAUAA